GCACGAAGGUUGGCUAAUCCUGGUCGGACAUCAGGAGGUUAGUGCAAUGGCAUAAGCCAGCUUGACUGCGAGCGUGACGGCGCGAGCAGGUGCGAAAGCAGGUCAUAGUGAUCCGGUGGUUCUGAAUGGAAGGGCCAUCGCUCAACGGAUAAAAGGUACUCCGGGGAUAACAGGCUGAUACCGCCCAAGAGUUCAUAUCGACGGCGGUGUUUGGCACCUCGAUGUCGGCUCAUCACAUCCUGGGGCUGAAGUAGGUCCCAAGGGUAUGGCUGUUCGCCAUUUAAAGUGGUACGCGAGCUGGGUUUAGAACGUCGUGAGACAGUUCGGUCCCUAUCUGCCGUGGGCGCUGGAGAACUGAGGGGGGCUGCUCCUAGUACGAGAGGACCGGAGUGGACGCAUCACUGGUGUUCGGGUUGUCAUGCCAAUGGCACUGCCCGGUAGCUAAAUGCGGAAGAGAUAAGUGCUGAAAGCAUCUAAGCACGAAACUUGCCCCGAGAUGAGUUCUCCCUGAGACUUAGAGUCUCCUGAAGGAACGUUGAAGACGACGACGUUGAUAGGCCGGGUGUGUAAGCGCAGCGAUGCGUUGAGCUAACCGGUACUAAUGAACCGUGAGGCUUAACCUUACAACGUCGAAG
rnacentral:rRNA from 1 species